rnacentral:rRNA from 1 species
GAUGAACGCUGGCGGCGUGCCUAAUACAUGCAAGUCGAGCGAACGGACGAGAAGCUUGCUUCUCUGAUGUUAGCGGCGGACGGGUGAGUAACACGUGGAUAACCUACUUAUAAGACUGGUAUAAUUUCGGGAAACCGGAGCUAAUACCGGAUAAUAUUUUGAACCGCAUGGUUCAAAAGUGAAAGACGGUCUUGCUGUCACUUAUAGAUGGAUCCGCGCUGCAUUAGCUAGUUGGUAAGGUAACGGCUUACCAAGGCAACGAUGCAUAGCCGACCUGAGAGGGUGAUCGGCCACACUGGAACUGAGACACGGUCCAGACUCCUACGGGAGGCAGCAGUAGGGAAUCUUCCGCAAUGGGCGAAAGCCUGACGGAGCAACGCCGCGUGAGUGAUGAAGGUCUUCGGAUCGUAAAACUCUGUUAUUAGGGAAGAACAUAUGUGUAAGUAACUGUGCACAUCUUGACGGUACCUAAUCAGAAAGCCACGGCUAACUACGUG